rnacentral:rRNA from 1 species
AUUGAACGCUGGCGGCAGGCCUAACACAUGCAAGUCGAACGAGUGGCGGACGGGUGAGUAAUGUCUGGGAAACUGCCCGAUGGAGGGGGAUAACUACUGGAAACGGUAGCUAAUACCGCAUACCAUCGGAUGUGCCCAGAUGGGAUUAGCUAGUAGGUGGGGUAACGGCUAACCUAGGCGACGAUCCCUCGCUGGGCUGAGAGGAUGACCAGCCACACUAGAACGGAGACACGGUCCAGACUCCUACGGGAGGCAGCAGGGGGGAAUAUUGCACAAUGGGAGCAAGCCUGAUGCAGCCAUGCCGCGUGUAUGAAGAAGGCCUUCGGGUAGUAAAGUACUUUCAGCGAGGUGGCGUUACUAGCAGAAGAAGCACCGGCUAACUCCGUGCCAGCAGCCGCGGUAAUAC